AUUGAACGCUGGCGGCAGGCUUAACACAUGCAAGUCGAACGAAGUCUUCGGACUUAGUGGCGGACGGGUGAGUAACACGUGGGAACGUACCUUUUGGUUCGGAACAACUCAGGGAAACUUGAGCUAAUACCGGAUGAGCCCUUAGGGGGAAAGAUUUAUCGCCGAAAGAGCGGCCCGCGUUAGAUUAGCUAGUUGGUGAGGUAAAGGCUCACCAAGGCUACGAUCUAUAGCUGGUCUGAGAGGAUGAUCAGCCACACUGGGACUGAGACACGGCCCAGACUCCUACGGGAGGCAGCAGUGGGGAAUCUUGCGCAAUGGGCGAAAGCCUGACGCAGCCAUGCCGCGUGAAUGAUGAAGGUCUUAGGAUUGUAAAAUUCUUUUACCAGGGACGAUAAUGACGGUACCUGGAGAAAAAGCCCCGGCUAACUUCGUGCCAGCAGCCGCAGUAAGAC
rnacentral:rRNA from 1 species